ACGGUAACAGGGGAGCUUGCUCCCGCUGACGAGUGGCGAACGGGUGAGUAAUGCAUCGGAACGUGCCGAAUAGUGGGGGAUAACGCACCGAAAGGUGUGCUAAUACCGCAUGCGCCCUGAGGGGGAAAGUGGGGGACCGCAAGGCCUCACGCUAAUCGAGCGGCCGAUGUCGGAUUAGCUAGUUGGUGGGGUAAAGGCUCACCAAGGCGACGAUCCGUAGCGGGUCUGAGAGGAUGAUCCGCCACACUGGGACUGAGACACGGCCCAGACUCCUACGGGAGGCAGCAGUGGGGAAUUUUGGACAAUGGGGGAAACCCUGAUCCAGCCAUGCCGCGUGUCUGAAGAAGGCCUUCGGGUUGUAAAGGACUUUUGUCCGGGAGGAAACCCUGAUCGUUAAUAGCGGUCGGGACUGACAGUACCGGAAGAAUAAGCACCGGCUAACUACGUGCCAGCAGCCGCGGUAAUACGUAGGGUGCAAGCGUUAAUCGGAAUUACUGGGCGUAAAGCGUGCGCAGGCGGUGAGAUAAGUCAGCUGUGAAAGCCCCGGGCUCAACCUGGGAACUGCGGCCGAAACUGUCUCGCUAGAGUACGUCAGAGGGGGGUGGAAUUCCACGUGUAGCAGUGAAAUGCGUAGAGAUGUGGAGGAACACCAAUGGCGAAGGCAGCCCCCUG
rnacentral:rRNA from 1 species